AAUUAUGAUAUUUGUUGUUACUUUUGGCCGUAGAUCACUUUUUCUGAUUUUCUUUCUAAUUACAGGUAUGAAAGUGGGGAUAGGCUAAGUCCUGAGCAUGAGAGAACAAUCCUGGAAAGGGUGCUUCCAUAUCAUCCACAAUGUGAAAAGAAAAUUGGAAGUGGAGUAGAUUAUAUCACGAUUGGCUAUCAUCCUGAUUUCGAUAGAUCACGAUGUUUAUUCAUAGUCCGAAAGGAUGGAGAGCUGGUUGACUUUUCGUACUGGAAAUGUAUAAAGGGUUUGAUCAGAAAAAAUUAUCCACUGUAUGCAGACACUUUUAUCAUAAGACAUUUUAAGAAGCCUAGGCGUAGUGAUUGAAGGUAAACUUCUCAAUUUGUUCAGAGUUAGAAAUCUACCGUAAGGAUACUUCCUGCCUAUUGUUUAGUUUGUCUUUCACCUGCCUGAAAGAUUUUUUGUGUUUGUUAGACGGUGUGAGUAGAAAUUCUGGUGUUACAACUAGAGCAUAUUACUAGGACCUUUCUUUUGGUAUGCAAUACUGGUGUAUAUUUAUUUCUUUCUUUUCAAGCCAUGUGUUCCGUGAUUCUGCAAUACAUGCACAGAUAAACUUCCCUUUUUGGUUCA